rnacentral:rRNA from 1 species
AUUGAACGCUGGCGGCAGGCCUAACACAUGCAAGUCGGACGGUAGCACAGAGGAGCUUGCUCCUCGGGUGACGAGUGGCGGACGGGUGAGUAAUGUCUGGGGAUCUGCCCGAUAGAGGGGGAUAACCACUGGAAACGGUGGCUAAUACCGCAUAACGUCGCAAGACCAAAGAGGGGGACCUUCGGGCCUCUCACUAUCGGAUGAACCCAGAGGGGAUUAGCUAGUAGGCGGGGUAAUGGCCCACCUAGGCGACGAUCCCUAGCUGGUCGGAGGGGAUGACCAGCCACACUGGAACUGAGACACGGUCCAGACCCCUACGGGAGGCAGCAGUGGGGAAUAUUGCACAAUGGGCGCAAGCCUGAUGCAGCCAUGCCGCGUGUAUGAAGAAGGUCUUCGGGUUGUAAAGUACUUUCAGCGGGGAGGAAGGCGGUGAGGUUAAUAACCUUGCCGAUUGACGUUACCCGCAGAAGAAGCACCGGCUAACUCCGUGCCAGCCGCCGCCGUAA